UACGUAGGGUGCAGGCGUUACUCGGAAUUACUGGGCGUAAAGCGUGCGCAGGCGGUCUUUUAAGUCAGAUGUGAAAUCCCCGGGCUUAACCUGGGAACUGCGUUUGAAACUGGAAGGCUUGAGUGUGGCAGAGGGGGGUGGAAUUCCACGUGUAGCAGUGAAAUGCGUAGAGAUGUGGAGGAACACCGAUGGCGAAGGCAAUCCCCUGGGCCUGCACUGACGCUCAUGCACGAAAGCGUGGGGAGCAAACAGG
rnacentral:rRNA from 1 species